UACGGAGGAUGCAAGCGUUAUCCGGAAUCACUGGGUUUAAAGGGUGCGCAGGCGGAUUAAUAAGUCAGAGGUGAAAGCUCUCAGCUUAACUGAGGAACUGCCUUUGAUACUGUUAGUCUUGAAAUAUGGUGAGGUUGGCGGAAUGAGUCAUGUAGCGGUGAAAUGCAUAGAUAUGACUUAGAACACCGAUUGCGAAGGCAGCUAACUGGCCAUUAUUUGACGCUCAGGCACGAAAGCGUGGGGAGCGAACAGG
rnacentral:rRNA from 1 species